rnacentral:tRNA from 1 species
GAGAGUAUAGCUCAGUGGUAGAGUGCGUGCUUAGCAUGCACAAGGUCCUGGGUUGAGUUCCCAGUACCGCCA